UAAUACGUAGGGUGCGAGCGUUAAUCGGAAUUACUGGGCGUAAAGCGUGCGCAGGCGGUCCGCAAAGUCUGAUGUGAAAGCCCCGGGCUCAACCUGGGAACUGCAUUGGAAACUAACGGGCUCGAGUGUGGCAGAGGGGGGUGGAAUUCCACGUGUAGCAGUGAAAUGCGUAGAGAUGUGGAGGAACACCGAUGGCGAAGGCAGCCCCCUGGGCUAACACUGACGCUCAGGCACGAAAGCGUGGGGAGCAAACAGGAUUAGAUACCCUGGUAGUCCACGCCCUAAACGAUGUCAACUGGGUGUUGGGGAAGCGAUUCCUCAGUACCGUAGCUAACGCGUGAAGUUGACCGCCUGGGGAGUACGGCCGCAAGGUU
rnacentral:rRNA from 1 species